GACGAACGCUGGCGGCGUGCUUAACACAUGCAAGUCGAACGAUGAUGCCCAGCUUGCUGGGUGGAUUAGUGGCGAACGGGUGAGUAACACGUGAGUAACCUGCCCCUGACUCUGGGAUAAGCGUUGGAAACGACGUCUAAUACUGGAUAUGAUCGCCGGCCGCAUGGUCUGGUUGUGGAAAGAUUUUUUGGUUGGGGAUGGACUCGCGGCCUAUCAGCUUGUUGGUGAGGUAAUGGCUCACCAAGGCGACGACGGGUAGCCGGCCUGAGAGGGUGAACGGCCACACUGGGACAGAGACACGGCACAGACUCCUACGGGAGGCAGAAGUGGGGAAGAUUGCACAAUGGGCGAAAGCCUGAUGCAGCAACGCCGCGUGAGGGAUGACGGCCUUCGGGUUGUAAACCUCUUUUAGUAGGGAAGAAGCGAAAGUGACGGUACCUGCAGAAAAAGCACCGGCUAACUACGUGCCAGCAGCCGCCGUAACAC
rnacentral:rRNA from 1 species